rnacentral:lncRNA from 1 species
CUAAUCCCUGUGUUCAGAAGGUAGAACCAGGUGGGUCAGAGGUUCAAGGGCAUCCUUUGCUACAGAACAAAUGUGAGGUGACCCUGGACUCCAUUUUGUUUCCAUGUAGUAAGUGCAUAUCCAUUGUGACUGGGCAGUGGCGAAUCUAAGAAGCGGUGCGACAGAGCUGUCAAACAAAGAAAGAACACAGAAGUCUGGAGAAGAGAAGUGGUGUCAGUGGAUGAGCAGAGAAUGAUGCCAUUGCACCCCUGCCAUUGUGUGUAGACCUUAGG